rnacentral:lncRNA from 10 species
CUUCCACGCUGUGGGAGCUUUGUUCUUUUGCUCUUUGCAAUAAAUCUUGCUACUCCUCACUCUUUGGGUCCACACUGCUUUUAUGAGCUGGAACACUCACCGCGAAGGUCUGCAGCUUCACUCCUGAAGCCAGCGAGACCACGAGCCCACCGGGAGGAACCAACAACUCCAGACGCGCCGCCUUAAGAGCUGUAACACUACCGCGAAGGUCUGCAGCUUCACUUCUGAACCAGCUAGACCACGAACCCACCAGAAGGAAGAUACUCGGAACACAUCCGAACAUCAGAAGGAACGAACAACUCCAGACGCGCCACCUUAAGAGCUGUAACACUCACCGCAAGGGUGCGCGGCUUCAUUCUUGAAGUCGGUGAGACAAAAAACCCGCCAACUCCGGACACACUAUCACUGCUCCCAGGGAGAUAAUUCACUUUUUGAAGCCCAGCAGGGAGGAAGUACACUUUUUGAAGCUAUGCAACUGUGAACACUGUGAUUUAGAGGGGAUGAAAAAGAAUAGCAGAAAAAGGAAAGGGAAAAAAAAAGAAAAGAGACAAAAUUUCUAACUAAAAAAAUUAAAAUUAAAAAAAACCAAAAAACAAAAAAACCUUCCCCCUUUACAAUCAGGCUUGGCCUGACAGCCAGCUUGAAAAUCUAGGGCAGAACACAAGGGACUUCCCACCAAGAACUAUGGCUGAUUAUUCCAUUUUACAUUUUUAAAAAGAAAAGGAGAAGAAGAAAAAAAACUUCUCGGAAGUGCGAAUGAGGAUUGAAUUGCAGUAAAGCACAACAGGCCACCAUGUCUGAGCAACAGGGAUUUGGUUCUCUGUAUGGAGAUGCAGUCUGACAAGACAAGUUCACUGCAGUUCACAGCGCCGUUGAACGCCAAGGCCCAGGAGGUUCACAUCUGGGACUCAGCACACAAGCAUUAUCACUGCUACAGCUGCAGACAGAUGACUGUACUUCUCUGCCCCCUGGAAAUGAGGCUUGCCCGUCUGACUCACUUUGUCCAGUGAAUUAUCAACAGAAGUGAUGUGAAUCACUUCGAAGUGGAAGCUUCAAGUGCUGGUACAAGAUUUACCUCUCUGUAUUUCCCUGUUCCUGUGAUCUUGCUAGCAGUCCUCAAAUGUCCAG